CAUCUCUCUUCCUCUUUCUCUCCUACGCGUGAGCUCUCUUCUGUCAUCUCUCAUCCCUCCUCUCUCCUUCUCUACUGGAAAACCCACAAUCUUUCAUCUUCCUCUGCUCUUCCUUUCUCUCCGCUCCCCAUAUCUCUUGAUGUGAAGCCCACAAACCAAGUAGUGACGGUUGAAAGCCUCAAACAUGGAGGGCGCGAAAUGGUGGUACAGUGAAGGUCGACAAUCGCCUCCGUUGUCAAUGAAUUUGGCCAUCAGAAAGCUUCUUACGGGUUCUUGGGGAUGUGAGAGUCUAUCUUCCUAGCGGUGGCGGCGACGGCUGGAAACAACAUCAGCAAAAUUUUGCAGAAGAAAGGCACCGUCGUUCUUCCUCCUCUCUCUUUCAAGCUCAAGGGAUUUCUGCAUAGAGAAGAGAAUUGUUUUGUUUACGUCUCACUAAAACUGGUGGUAGCAAAUUAGCGAUGUCAACCCUACAAGGAAGAGGCUGAUGAGAGACUUCAAGAGGCUGCAACAAAACCCGCCUGCAAGGAUUAGCAGGGUGCCUCAAGAUGGCAAUGUAAUGCUGUCGACGAGGUUAGUUAUUUUUGAGGUUCCGGUUAGAAGAUGCGACUACGGGAUAGAGGUUCAGGGCCGAAGGGGUAGAGGAAGACCUAGGAAAACUUUGAAAGAGACUCUAAGAUAAGACUUAAGAGUACUUGGAUCUAACAGAGGACAUGAUAGAGGACAUGAUACAGAACCGAGCGCAAUGGCGUUCUAGGAUUCAUAGAGCUGACCCCACUUAGUGGGAAAAGGCUUUGUUGUUGUUGCUUCUGCAAACGUGAACUCUUUACAUGGAUACUGAAUUUUAUGUGAUUUUUAAUAGUUAUAUAUCAAACUCUUCUGCACUAAACUCUGUAUUACAACAAUUAUAAUUAGAACUUGGAUGAAAUGGGCUCCAUCCAGCAAAACUCCUGCCCUAUUAAAAAAAUUUAAAAAACUCAAAAGAAAUUUGAUAAUUUCUCAUAGCUUAGGCCAUUUAUCCAAGUCAGAAUGAGAAACACAGAUGUUUUCUUUAUCUUACGCUGUAUGUUUGGCUGUAAAUCGUAUGGGGUAAAUUUCUUGGUGACAUUUUAAAUAGACUGGAAAUAUGUCUCAUGCAAAAUUUACGUUGAUGUUUAUCAAUGGAAAUAAGUUUUGAAGUAAUUACCUUUCUUUAUACAAGUUAUCUUCACAAAGAAACCUAUAUUAUGGUUUCGCUUUUACUUGCUUUCGCACGGGGGAAGUGUGUGGGCAUGUAAUUGGCGUGUCAUUACUCACUAAUUAUUUUAUCCUUAUCUUCUAUAUUAAUAUCACCAUUCUCACGCGAAGGUUGCCUCUUCCAAGUCGGUAUGUGAUGGUCUCUAAUCCCUUAUGUGUGAUUUCUCCAAUUUGAUUCUCUGAUGGUUCCUCAAGGAGGGCAGAUUUGGGGUUUGUGGUUUUAGGGUUUUAUGUCUUGGAAAUUUUCUUUAUUUUUUGGGUAUAAAUCUCAGGAUUUUGGGGUUUUUACAGUGGUGGGUUUAUCAAAAUUCAAAUUCUUGCAUUCACAAAUCCAUGUAAAACCCUUCAAUUUUGUUUUGUUUUUAACUGUGAGGUAUGAUUUUAUAGAAAAUAAUGGUUGGAAUUAACUUUAGUAAUCUUGAUUUUGGUUUGGUUCAGCUAGGGUUUAGAUGAGUCCACCUGCUAUGGUGAAGAUGGAAGAUGCUAAAUUUUGCUCAAUUUUACUUAUGUGUUAUUGUGAAUUUAAUAUAUAUGUAGUUGCCCUGUUUGGCUUUGGGGUUUUGAUUUGGUGUUUGUUUGGAUUUGGGAAUUACCAUUGAUAGAUAGCAUUCAAGCAAGAUGCAUAACUCAUACACACAUUUUUUUUUCAUAUUCCUUUUCUGCCAUCUCUUAUUUAGAUUUGUGUAAUUGGUUGGCUCAAAGACGGUUUACAAGGUAGGGCUCUAUAUUCAUCUUCAGAUUGGUCCAUAUAUUUGUUCAAAAUGGAAUUUUGGUAAUGAUCAUUUUCCUCAGGCUGACCCCACUUAGUCGGAAAAGGCUUUGUUGUUGUUGAUCAUUUUCCUCAGCAGUUUUUUGUUUCAUCAAAGAUUUAGUCCGACAAUUGCUCAGGUGACAAUGUCCAUUGGUGAGAUUGGUUGGAUUAGCCCACUUUUCUGUUGGUAUAUAUUUACUUAUGCGGCUUUCUGCAUAUAUUAGACUUCUCCUGCUGUAAUGUAACAGAUUUAAUAGUUACUUCACUCAAUGAAUAGCUCUUCAGUAUCCAUUUUGAAAUCAGCAUCGUUGACUUUCAUAUUGAUUCACCAUCACCUAACAAGGUUUCUUUGGACCCAAAACAAAUCAUAAUUAACUAUUCACUAAUCUGCUGCUUUAUUGUCAUUGACUCUUUAGAUUGGGAAGCACCAUCAAUUAGUAUGAUAGGCGCUUAACAAUUUCCUAGGGUGGGAAGCACUUGCUUUUUUUUGUUGUGUAGAAGAUUAAUACCAUGCAACCAUGAUAGCUAUUAUAACUAAGAAUCAGUAUGUUGUAAAGAUACCUCAAUUAUUGAGAACGACAUAUAAGUUCGGAAGUUGAAUUUUGGUUGUGUCAGCAACUUGAGAUGAUUGUAAAGCCGUACAUGUAGUGUUGAUGCCUUUUACUACACGCAUAUUUGUUUCGUUGGAUUAAACUUGCAAUGUACAGAUUUAUGCCAAGGAAAAAUUAGGGAGCUAUCCUGUCCAUUUAUGCUUAUAUUUAGUAAGAUUCGGGUGAUAAAGAUUUCUAAGAUGUUUUCUGAGUUGUUUGGAGCUGCAUUCAUUUCUUGGAAGACCACAUUAAGAAGCAUUUUGUCAAUUGAUGCCUUAUGGAAAUUUUUUGAUAUUUAAUCCUUCUUUUGUUUUAGUUUCGUGUUAGCACAUGCCGUAUUUUGCUUUGCUUGCUGGUUAUUUAAUGUGCCCUCAAAUUUGAGCAUCUUUAUGUGGAAAUGAUUCAUAGCUGUUGUUGAUUAUAGCAGCACUUAGUUUUGAUUCGUAAACAAACUAUAUACUUUAUCUUUGUCUUGGGUUACAGUAUAACGUUUAAUGGUUGAAUUUGUAAGACGAUUUAGUAAUAUUUUCAGAAACUUACUAUUCCUACCAGAUGCUCAGGCAUCUACUUUUCUACUUUCCUUUUCCUGGGUUUUUCCUCCAUGUAGUAGGCUCAUUACUUGAAACUAUGAAUGAUAUUGAUGAUACAAUACGAUCUACAAAUGAAUGUUUCUUAUGGCAUGCAUAUCCAUAAAUAGCAAGCAAAGUUUGACUUCAUUGGUUCUUAGGUACUACAACGUCUUUUUAGUUGCUUUGUGGAAACAAUUCAUGCAUGUUGCGACUAAUACAUUCAACGCCCGCAGCAAAGCGCGGACACAUUUUCUAGUUUAUAUCUAUUACACAUAUAUUGGAUAUUGCAAAUGUCUUGCAACUAGAAACACAUGGCUUCUAAUAGAGUUUUUAUAGUUAAACCACUUUUUCUUUUGCCCAUUUUGUCCUGCGUAUUCACGCGUCUGUUUUUCCUUUUCAGGUUGGUUUAUGGAAAAUACAUGCUAACUGUUACCAUUCCCAAGCCGAAGCAGUAAGAUCAUUCACGUAUUUCAGAAUGAAUGAUAAGAUCUUUAUGGCUGAAAAUUGGAGUAACUUGGUUCCUUUUGUUAAAAAGAUGAGCACAAAUUGGGGAAGCAGCCAAAAAACCUAACUUAAGCAGUAAAUUUAUUGAACUCUCUAGAGUAGCAGCCUCACUGGCCUGUAAUUUUUUGGCAAAGGCAUGUGUAUAAGUUUUUAACUUCCUGAUAUAUUGACUGAAAUAAGUUUUUGUUCCCA